rnacentral:rRNA from 1 species
AACGGCCAUACCAAGCUGAAAUAUACCUGUUCUCGUUAGAUCACCGAAGUCAAAGCAUCAUUGGGCGCGGUUGGUCAGUACUUGGGUGGGUGACCACCUGGGAACACUGCAUGCCGUU